rnacentral:pre_miRNA from 13 species
UAAUUUGUUUGGAACAGAUCCUCAUUUAAUUAUAACAAACCCACACCUGGAUGCUCAGAAUCACCCGUUAUCAUAAGUCUGUGUACUUCAUUGACAUUGAAAAACAAAUGACAACCACUAUCUAAAUAAUAA